CACCCUCUCUUUUCUCUCUCUAUCUGCCUCCCGCCUUCUCAGGCUCAUUCCUCAUCCAUCAAGAAGUCCGAGGAACCUAAGGUCUAGGCCCAGCCUGGCUAUGGAGUAAAAGUUCAGGAGUCACUCUGGGAAAGUCGAGGAAAAUGGAACUCUAGGCUUCAGAGAGAGGACUGGCCUGGGACACAGCAGGCAGAUGAGCAGGUUAGACAUGGUCCGAGGAAUACUUUCUGCCGCAUUGGAUCAGCAAUCUGCCUGCACCUUUGACAUCUCGUAAUUGAGGUAUGUCAGGGUCCAAAGUAAGAAUUCAUGAAAGCUCUGUGUA
rnacentral:lncRNA from 1 species